CCCUUAGAUGUUCUGGGCCGCACGCGUGCUACACUGAGUGGAUCAGCGGGUCAGGUUGUGCGAAAGCGUUUCCUAAUCUUGAAAUCCGCUCGUGAUGGGGAUUGACGGUUGCAAUUUUCUGUCAUGAACGAGGAAUACCUUGUAAGCGCGAGUCAUCAUCCCGCGCUGAAUACGUCCCUGCCCUUUGUACACACCGCCCGUCGCUCCUACCGAUUGAGUGGUCCGGUGAGGCUUUGGGAUCUGAGCGGAAAGAGCGUUUCGCUCGUUCUGCCCGGAAAACUCAGUCGAACCUUAUCAUUUAGAGGAAGGAGAAGUCGUAACA
rnacentral:rRNA from 1 species